UACGUAGGGGGCGAGCGUUGUCCGGAUUUACUGGGCGUAAAACGCUUGUAGGUGGCCACGCCAAGUCGGAUGUGAAAUCUCCUGGCUUAACUGGGAGGGGUCAUUCGAUACUGGCGGGCUCGAGGCAGGUAGGGGGAAGCGGAAUUCCCGGUGUAGUGGUGGAAUGCGUAGAUAUCGGGAGGAACACCAGUGGCGAAGGCGGCUUCCUGGACCUGUUCUGACACUGAGGAGCGAAAGCGUGGGGAGCGAU
rnacentral:rRNA from 1 species